UGAAGGCUCACAAGUCCCAAGAUGUACAGUUAGCAAGCUGGAGACCCAAGAGAGCUGAAAGUACAGCUCCAGUCCAAGUACGGGCAGGCUCAAGACUCAGGAAGAGGGUUUUAGUUUGAGUUCAGAGGCAAGAAUAAAUAUUGAUGUCUCAUACUGAAGGCAAUCAGACUGGAGGAAAUUCUCCCUUCCCAGGAGAGGAUCAACCCUUUGUUCUAUUCAGGCCUUCAGUGGAUUAGAUGAGGCCCACCCCACAUGAGGGAGGGCAAUCUGCUUUACUCUAAUUAUUUAAAUGUUAAACUACAAAAACACCCUUACAGAAACACCCAAAAUAAUGUUGGACCAAAUAUCUAAGCAUCCCAUGGCCCUGUCAAGUUGACACAUAAAAUUAGCUUCCCAAAUGGGUUUAUUCAUGCAAAACAAUAUCAGACAGCCAUUUUUUAAUGCAACAGAUGUAUGUAUUCCAAAAUACAAGAAUGUCCAUGAUCUGAUGUUAAAUUGCAGAAGAGUAUGUAUACUAUGUCCGACCCUGUGUGACAUAGUAUAUGGUCCCACAUGCAUAAAAGAGAAAGUAAAUAUACAAAAAUACAUAUACAUAGACAUUUUUUAAGUUUGUGCAAACACAGAAAAAGUUUUGGAAAGAUAUACAGCAGACACAAUGGUUUCCUUCCUGCCCCCAUCCCAUCCCUCCCCAGAAAGUAGGGGAAGAAUGUACAGUGUGAUAGAGAAAUUUGCUUUGUUUUGUUUUUUAUAAUAAUCACUAAGAUAUGCUAGUGAGUGAAAGUCAUUCAGUGGUGUCUGAUUCUUUGUGACCCCUAUACAGUCCAUGGAAUUUCCCAGACCAGAAUACUGGCAUGGGUAGCAGCUGUUCCCUUCUCAAGGAGAUCUUCCCAGUUCAGGGAUCAAACCCAAAUCUCUCACAUUGUAGGUGGAUUCUUUACCAUCUGAGUCACCAGGGAAGACCAAGACUACUGGAGUGAGCAGCCUAUCCCUUCUCCAGUGGAUCUUCCUGACUCAGGAAUUGAACCAGGG
rnacentral:lncRNA from 1 species